rnacentral:rRNA from 1 species
GCGGAAGGAUCAUUAUUAUAAUGUGUGAAAAUGCCCCUAACACGGGCAUACUCUACAAAACUCUAAACUUACAGUCUGAGAAGGCCAUUGGCCAUAAUCUUUAAACAUUUUAAAACUUUCAACAACGGAUCUCUUGGCUCUCGCAUCGAUGAAGAACGCAGCGAAAUGCGAUAAGUAAUGUGAAUUGCAGAAUUCAGUGAAUCAUCGAAUCUUUGAACGCACAUUGCGCCCUUUGGCAUUCCAUAGGGCAUGCCUGUUCGAGCGUCACUAACAACCCCGUCACAAACAGUGUGGUAUUGGCAGAAGUGGGUAGGGCUGGCAGUGUCGGCCCCACUCUGCUGGAAUGAAUAGGCCGGAAAUGUAGACCAUGAUAACAGACUUUCAGAGUAUCCCCCUGAUGCUAAAUUAGUUUGUAGUCUGGUCAGAAUCCAGGCUGUUGGACCCCCAUUCUGUGUAAAGCAGUAAUGUUGACCUCGGAUCAGGUAGGGAUACCCGCUGAACUUAAGCAUAUCAAUAAGCGGAGGAAAAGAAACCAACAGGGAUUGCC